rnacentral:lncRNA from 1 species
GAUUAAUUUGCAUAUAGGCAUUCAAAUACCAUUCCAUAGCUGUUUCUUAGCAGUUUAUUUAGCCUUCACAGUUAUUGUUGAUGAAAAAUUUAAAUGAGAUACCCAAAAAGAGACAACAACCCGACCAUAAAGCAGACAACAGCAGAAGGUCACCAAUAGGUCUUCAAUGCAGCAAGAAAUUCCUUCAGCUGGCCCCUAAACAUAUAUUUAUAUACUAGUUCAGUGAUAAUGAACGUCAUACUAAACUCCAAAUUAUACACAAGAAACCAAAAUUAAAAAUAAU